rnacentral:rRNA from 1 species
AUUGAACGCUAGCGGCAUGCUUUACACAUGCAAGUCGAACGAGUGGCGGACGGGUGAGUAAUAUAUCGGAACGUGCCCAGUAGCGGGGGAUAACUACUCGAAAGAGUGGCUAAUACCGCAUACUAUCGGAGCGGCCGAAAUUGGAUUAGCUAGUUGGUGGGGUAACGGCUCACCAAGGCAACGAUCCGUAGCUGGUUUGCGAGGAUGACCGGCCACACUGGAACUGAGACACGGCCCAGACUCCUACGGGAGGCAGCAGUAGGGAAUUUUGGACAAUGGGCGAAACCCUGAUCCAGCCAGGCCGCGUGUAUGAGAAGGCCUUCGGGUUGUAAAGUACUUUUAGCGGGGAGGCGGUAUCUGCAGAAGAAGCACCGGCUAACUACGUGCCAGCAGCCGCGGUAAUUC